rnacentral:rRNA from 1 species
GAUGAACGCUGACAGAAUGCUUAACACAUGCAAGUCUACUUGAACUUCGGUUUGGGUGGCGGACGGGUGAGUAACGCGUAAAGAACUUGCCUCACAGUUAGGGACAACAUUUGGAAACGAAUGCUAAUACCUGAUAUUAUGAUUUUAGGGCAUCCUAAAAUUAUGAAAGCUAUAUGCGCUGUGAGAGAGCUUUGCGUCCCAUUAGCUAGUUGGAGAGGUAACGGCUCACCAAGGCGAUGAUGGGUAGCCGGCCUGAGAGGGUGAACGGCCACAAGGGGACUGAGACACGGCCCUUACUCCUACGGGAGGCAGCAGUGGGGAAUAUUGGACAAUGGACCAAAAGUCUGAUCCAGCAAUUCUGUGUGCACGAUGACGUUUUUAGGAAUGUAAAGUGCUUUAAGUUGGGAAGAAAAAAAUGACGGUACCAACAGAAGAAGUGACGGCUAAAUACGUG